rnacentral:rRNA from 1 species
UUGGAGGGCAAGUCUGGUGCCAGCAGCCGCGGUAAUUCCAGCUCCAAUAGCGUAUAUUAAAGUUGUUGCAGUUAAAAAGCUCGUAGUUGAACCUCGGGGUCUACCCAUUGGUCAGGCUUAAUUGUCUGCACUGGUGAGAUGGAUCUCUACCUUCUGAGGAACUUUCAUGCCAUUCAUUUGGUGUGAUGGGAAAUCAGGACUGUUACUUUGAAAAAAUUAGAGUGUUUAAAGCAGACUAUCGUCUGAAUACAUUAGCAUGGAAUAAUGAAAUAGGACGGACUGAUUCUAUUUCGUUGGUUUCUAGGAUCACCGUAAUGAUUAAUAGGGAUAGUUGGGGGCAUUAGUAUUCAAUUGUCAGAGGUGAAAUUCUUGGAUUUAUUGAAGACUAACUACUGCGAAAGCAUUUGCCAAGGAUGUUUUCAUUAAUCAAGAACGAAAGUUAGGGGAUCGAAGACGAUCAGAUACCGUCGUAGUUUUAACCAUAAACUAUGCCGACUAGGGAUCGGACGAAGUUAAUUUUAUAAUGACGCGUUCGGCGCCUUACGGGAAAC